rnacentral:lncRNA from 1 species
AAAAUAAUUUUUUUGUUGAUGAACUUUUACCAUAAAAGCAGAAGAUCCACAUAUUUGUUCUUAAUAAAAAUAAAAUAAAUCUUAAUAAAUAAGUUAGGUCAGAUCGUCGUCUGUGCCAAAUAUUGUCGCAUUACCCUUUUGAUCAUGUGUUUACGGGACACCUUGUAUAAGAACAAAUAGGCACUGUGUAGAAUACAAGAACAUUGAUCAAAGUAUUCGAAUAAUCGGAAGAAUCCAGGUACAUAACAAUAUGUGAAAAAAGUCACUGCUUGUAAAAGAAAAAAUACAUGCAUCAAGUGAGUUAGUUAUCUACUUUGUAAGCUGGUGUUUGGUUUAAAAUUGAAACAUUUUUUACAGCAUGCCUCGCUAAGCUUCGCAACUCUUUGGAGUUUGAAACUCUAAUAACUUACUUAUAACAUUUAGGCAUUGCAAGUUUAUUAUUGGGUUUCGUUCGAAUAAUGACGAUUACAGACGCAAAUCUCUUCGUGAACUUGAUAUUGGAUGUAAUUAUUUGUUCUGUUUUACAAUGUACAAAAUUCACACUGCAAAACAUGUUAAUAGAUAAAAAAAAGUUUAAAAUAUGCAAAUGGCACAAGACAGAACAGUGAAAGCUUGUAAUAUAGGAGAUCAUACCAGACACCACACCGAAGUAUUGAUUCGGGGACGAUUCGUUUGCCUUAUCACUGCUCCUAACGUUAAUGUACUAAAAAAGAGGUUGUGUGUAAGAACCGAUUAUUGCAAUAAUAUUUAAAAUAGUUAUAUGGUGUCACUUACGAUUCUCUCCUCCUGCCCCCUUGCAUAGUUCGAGACCAUGAAAGUGGACGUUUUACACAUGAUGUAGAUAAAGAUGUUUCAAACAUAUCAAUUUUAUAUGGCGUUCAACAUCAACUACAAUCGUGGUUCCUUCAUUGAAAAAGAGAAGUAUCAGUUCAGGUUUCUUAUAUAUCGUCUAUUGGCUGCUUAUAGCAGCUAUGUAUAUAUUAUUUAUAUUUAUAUUUAAUGCCUGAUGAUCUUAAUACGAGUCUAGGUGUCCAUUAAAAAAUCACUUUCCCAAUAAUCAAUUGGUUGAAGCCACUGAAGUUGAAGCUUUAAACCAAAUACGCUGGCAUCCUUGUAUCACUUUGCAUUUAGAUGUUUUAUUCUUGUGACUCAGCAGUUGGCAAAGUUGAAGCACAAACGAUAUAAUUUUCUUGAUUCUUUGGGACAUUUUCCUGAACUUUCCUACCUGGUUCAGUAUUUAGGCGCACCGUCUGCUAUACACUAAGCCCAGCUAGUCCAAGCUAAUUGAAGAUGAUUAAAAUUCGGAUUAAACUCCAUAUCGAUCCUCCGCAACUAUCUUUCUUACCCUUAUUUUUAUAUUGCAUAUUUUACAUAUUUUUUGCAUAUUUGCAUAUCAUCGAUCAUUACUUUUACAAGCAAGUUGAAUGUAUUUUUUACAAUUAAUUCCCACGAUCAAAACAAAAUCAAAAUAAACCUAUUACGAACCUUUUCAUUCCAUUUAUUCCGGGACUUUCA